GGUAUUGCGCCGGUGUGAACGGGUAACUCUGAUGACGUUAAAUACGAGAUUUUUCCUCUCCAAUACCU
rnacentral:tRNA from 1 species